rnacentral:rRNA from 1 species
AAUCUGACCUCAAAUCAGGUAGGGCUACCCGCUGAACUUAAGCAUAUCAAUAAGCGGAGGAAAGGAAACUAACAAGGAUUCCCUUAGUAACGGCGAGUGAACCGGGAAGAGCUCAAAUUUGUAAUCUGGCGUGCUCUGUGCGUCCGAGUUGUAAUCUAUAGAAGUGUUUUCCGCGCCGGAUCGUGUCCAAGUUCCUUGGAAUAGGAUAUCAUAGAGGGUGACAAUCCCGUCCUUGACACGACUACCGGUGCUCUGUGAUACACUUUCUACGAGUCGAGUUGUUUGGGAAUGCAGCUCAAAAUGGGUGGUGAGUUCCAUCUAAAGCUAAAUAUUGGCGAGAGACCGAUAGCGAACAAGUACCGUGAGGGAAAGAUGAAAAGCACUUGAAAGAGAGUAAACAGUA